AACGAACGCUGGCGGCAUGCCUAACACAUGCAAGUCGAACGAGACCUUCGGGUCUAGUGGCGCACGGGUGCGUAACGCGUGGGAACCUGCCCUUAGGUUCGGAAUAACUCCCCGAAAGGGGUGCUAAUACCGGAUAAUGUCUUCGGACCAAAGAUUUAUCGCCUUUGGAUGGGCCCGCGUUGGAUUAGCUAGUUGGUAGGGUAAAAGCCUACCAAGGCGACGAUCCAUAGCUGGUCUGAGAGGAUGAUCAGCCACACUGGGACUGAGACACGGCCCAGACUCCUGCGGGAGGCAGCAGUGGGGAAUAUUGGAAAAUGGGCGAAAGCAUGAUCCAGCAAUGCCGCGUGAGUGAUGAAGGCCUUAGGGUUGUAAAGCUCUUUUACCCGGGAUGAUAAUGACAGUACCGGGAGAAUAAGCUCCGGCUAACUCCGUG
rnacentral:rRNA from 1 species